GAUGAACGCUGGCGGCGUGCCUAAUACAUGCAAGUCGAGCGAACAGACGAGGAGCUUGCUCCUCUGACGUUAGCGGCGGACGGGUGAGUAACACGUGGAUAACCUACCUAUAAGACUGGGAUAACUUCGGGAAACCGGAGCUAAUACCGGAUAAUAUAUUGAACCGCAUGGUUCAAUAGUGAAAGACGGUUUUGCUGUCACUUAUAGAUGGAUCCGCGCCGCAUUAGCUAGUUGGUAAGGUAACGGCUUACCAAGGCAACGAUGCGUAGCCGACCCGAGAGGGUGAUCGGCCACACUGGAACUGAGACACGGUCCAGACUCCUACGGGAGGCAGCAGUAGGGAAUCUUCCGCAAUGGGCGAAAGCCUGACGGAGCAACGCCGCGCGAGUGAUGAAGGUCUUCGGAUCGUAAAACUCUGUUAUUAGGGAAGAACAAAUGUGUAAGUAACUAUGCACGUCUUGACGGUACCUAAUCAGAAAGCCACGGCUAACUACGUG
rnacentral:rRNA from 1 species